rnacentral:tRNA from 1 species
GCCCGGGUGGUGAAAUUGGUAGACACAAGAGACUUAAAAUCUCUCGCGCGUAAGCGUGUGCCGGUUCGACUCCGGCUCCGGGCACCA